CUCAAAGGAGACUGCCAGUGAUAAACUGGAGGAAGGUGGGGAUGACGUCAAGUCAUCAUGGCCCUUACGAGUAGGGCUACACACGUGCUACGAUGGCGUAUACAAAGAGAAGCGACCUCGCGAGAGCAAGCGGACCUCAUAAAGUACGUCGUAGUCCGGAUUGGAGUCUGCAACUCGACUCCAUGAAGUCGGAAUCGCUAG
rnacentral:rRNA from 1 species